ACAGAGACCUUGCAAACUGAAAUGUGUGUCGUCACCCUUCAAUUAAUCUGACGCUUUCAGUGGAGACUCCAGUACGGAAAUUUGUUCGUGAAUUUUUCAUUAUUUUAGGUAGAUUCUACAUCUGUAUACAACUUAUGAAAGGUCUAAGUUUCACUGCUUGAAAUAGAAUUUGAAUAGUUCGCCACCUUGAGGCGGAUUUAUUUUUAUUAGCCUCCUGGCGGGUUAAAACUACAAACAGGAACAGCGACUGUCAAGUUUGGAUGGUAACUAAUUAGUGUGUGCUAUUCCAAGCUGAAUCUGCCGGACUCGUCUUAAGCAGUCUUGAUUUCUUGAAUCGUCAUCAAGAAAUCCUUUGUCAUUAAAACGUGUUUGUUAAAUCAGCAAAUCUUUAGAAAAAGAGGGUGACAAGAAGAACAGUCACGAAUCUUCACAAGGAGGAAGCAGAACUUCAUUGUGGGAGAGCAAGAUGGCGGAAGCACUCCCAGGCACCUCCAACUCCUCCGGGCCUCACUACUGUCAAGAUCAUGGCAGUGGUGUACUUUAAAAUCCACCACUUCCACAACCCCCAAGACGAGGCUCCAUGCCUUCGUGAAAGCGGCUGCUGAACUCUAUCCUCCACCCCUUUAAGGUCACAUUGGUGUUAGUGGAUUCAAGACAUUUGAAUACAUGCAUCGAUAAUGCAUUCGCAGUGUACCCCAACUUAUUGCAUUAAAAUUCAUAAUUUACCCAAACCAGAGUGCUGUGCAGUAUCUAAUAUCUGGCCUGUUGCUGUCAAGAGUGAAAUCCUUCACUUUUCUACAGUAAAUUACGUAAUGCCUUUCAACCUGAUAAGCUGGAUGGAAAGAUUAGUUUAAUUUCCUGCACCUCAGUAAGAAAAUAGUUUCAUUGUGAAUCAUCUUGAACACUUAUACAUCAAAUCCUAAAAUCUUGAUUUGCAAUAUUUAUUAGCAAUGCAAAUAAGGUGGAAAUAGAAUACUGUGAAUAUCUAACAGCUCAGUUGCUAAAGGAUUGUAAUGUCAGGGCACCUUAUUUAUUACCUCGUAUAAUCUGUGAAAUGCAUUGUAUAUAUCAGGUAGUAGCUUGUUGUCUAUUACUAUCAGUUUUUGUUCAGGAACAGUCUCGGCAAACCGGGCACUUGAAAGUGCAUUUGACUGAUUUCUAUUAGCUGCUAAAUUUCGUCUUUCUGUUUAUGGAAUUGUGCUGUUACCAGAUCUAAAAAUUACGUAAUGCCAUACCUGCACGAAUGUAGAAAAAAGGCUAAAACACUAAGGCCUUCUGGUCAGCUAAAGUUUUGGCAUCCACAUAUAUAGGUGUUUAAUUCCUUGCCACCACUGUCUUUUGCUCAGGACUACUGAAGAGUUACUCUAUAAGUACUUUGUACUAUACAUGUGUAGGCAAUGUGUAAUCCUACUCUUGACACUUAAAUCAUUCAACCCUUCAUCUCACAAGACUACACAAAGAACCAGUUUAAAGGAAGUAAAUUAAAAACCAGUGUCAAUUUGAGUUCGUCAAUAUUUAUUCCCAUCCUUACUGUUGGUGUCCACGAACUGUAAGUUUGAGAGUCACUCGACAAUCUAUUCACCUCAAAGUAGUGAAUGUGGCUGUUUCACAGGGAUUUAUCAGUGCCAGCAUAAGAGCACAGAUAGUUUCAUCAGUUGUAUGUACAACAACAUUCCAAGUCUCAUUAAGGUGACUGAUCUUUUUGGUCAAAGCCAGAAUAAUGGGAAUCUAAAUGAAAGUACAUGUGCCAAAAAGACAUAGAAACCUGGUGUUCCUGGUGUUUAGGAAUACACAGAUUAAAAGUUGUUUACGAUUAAUUAGUCUAGUUGGAGAACUUUAUGAUUAAUUAGUUUAGCUGGAGAACUUUUGUAAAUAUAUCUUAUUUUCAUACCGCAGCAGCAAGUUUGUAUUAAAUACUUGACAUAUGUAAAUCUUUAAAUACUACAGGUAUGUAAAUCUUAAUAUCACCUACCCAUUUUCAUAACCAACUGCUUCUUGAAUGGAUUUGUUAAUAAACUGGAGUAUUGAAAUUUUUCACUUGAAUGGAUUAGGUCC